rnacentral:rRNA from 1 species
BCCUGGCCCUAAAUCUUGAUGCUCGAUCUUACCGGAGCAUCCGCCCGAGAACUACGAGCACUAACGCUUAAAACUCUAAGGACUUGGCGGUGUCCCAAACCCACCUAGAGGAGCCUGUUCUGUAAUCGAUGAUCCACGAUAUACCUGACCAUUCCUCGCCAGAUCAGCCUAUAUACCGCCGUCGCCAGCCCACCCAGCAUGAAGGACCAACAGUGGACGCAAUAGCCUCACCCGCUAAUAAGACAGGUCAAGGUAUAGCCUAUGGAAUGGAAGCAAUGGGCUACAUUUUCUAAACUAGAACAUAACGGCAAAGGGACAUGAAACUGACCCUGGAAGGAGGAUUUAGCAGUAAAGUGGGACAAUCGAGCCCUCUUUAAGCCGGCCCUGGGACACGU